GCCCGACAGAACGUGACGCGCGCGCGCGCUCCCACAUAUAUGUAUUUUUCUUACCGCUCUGUUUCACGUUCCUCGAGCGGUCCGCUUCUCCCAGACCGGGAGUGACGUCAGAGGCGACCGGAGCAACUGGGUCCGCGGAAGACGAGAGUCCAGACAGAGAACCAGAAGAACCGGUGCAAUUGUGGAUGAGCCUGUUUUGGACUGAAAAGCUCCUAAAAGCACCACAGAAGACACUGAAUUGCCCCUAGAAUGCUCCAAAGUUACUGAAGGGCCCAAACACUUCUGAAAUGCCCUUAAAAAGUUAUUGAAAAGACCUUUAAAUACCCCAAGACACUUCUGAAACAGCCCUGAAAUGGUCCUUAAGUUACUGAAACACCCGAAAGAUACUGAAAUAACCCUUAAACACUCAUAAAAGUUACUGAAAUGCCCUUGGAAGACCCCAGAAGAUACUGAAACACAUUUGAAAUGCCCUAAAAAAUCUCCUAAAGUGACUGAAUUGCCCCUAAAUUCUCUUAAAGUUUCCUGAAACGCCAUUGAAAUGCUCCAGAAGAUAGUGAAGCACCCAAAACGCUUCUGAAGUUACUAAAAUACCUUUGAAACACCCAGAAGAUACUGAAACACCUUGAAAACACUCCUAAUGUUACUAAAAUGCCCAGAAGAUUCUGAAAUGCAUCUGAAACACCCCUAAAAUGCUUCUAACAUUACUGAAAAACCUUUGAAACAUCCAGAAGAUACUAAAAUACCUUGAACAAUGCUAUACUGUUACUGAAACGCUGCUAGUUACUGAAACAUUCCUGAAACACUCCUAAAGUUCCUGAUAUAUUCUCAAAACGCUCCUAAAGUUACUGAAACAUUAAUGAAAAUUCCAUGAAACACUCCUAAAUUUACUGAAACGUUCCUGAUAUGUUCUUGAAAUGCGGCUAAAGUUCCGGAAACAUUCUUGUAAUGCUCAAAGUUCAUGAAACGUUCUUAAAAUGCUCCUAAAGUUACUGAAACAUUCCUGAAACUUUCUUGAAAAGCUCCUCAAGUUCCUGAAACGUUUUUGAAAUGCUCCUGAAGUUUCUGAAACAUUCUUGAAACACUCCUAAAGUUCCUGAAACAUUCCUGAAAUGCUCCUAAAGUUCCUGAAACUUUCUUGAAAUGCUCGUAAAGUUACUGACACAUUCUUGAAACUCUCCCAAAGUUCCUGAAACAUUGUUGAAACGCUCCUAAAGUUCCUGAAACAUUGUUGAAACGCUCCUAAAGAUC
ensembl:lncRNA